GGGUGCGAUCAUACUAGCACUAAAGCACCGGAUCCUAUCAGAACUCCGCAGUUAAGCAUGCUUGGGCCAGAGUAGUACUAGGAUGGGGGAUCUCCUAGUAAGUCCUUGUUAGGUGGUCA
rnacentral:rRNA from 1 species